GGCCGGUUAGCUCAGUCGGUUGGAGGGUGGUGCUGCUAAUACCAAGGUCGUGGGUUCAAUUCCCAUUCAGUCCC
rnacentral:tRNA from 1 species